CAGCUCAAGCAUCAGAAAACAAUAAAGCUACGUCAAAAAAGGUUAAUGUCUCGGUCCCGCAAAAUAUCCACCGAAACAUUUUGGCGCCCACCGUUGGGCCUAGAGAAUUGAAGACACCCAAGCAUGACCACAAGAAAUAUGGAAGAACACCAGAGCAACGCUGAAACCACAAGGAGCCAGACGAAGAUGUAGUCUCAGCAUCAUCAUGUCAACCACACCCCAUCAUAUUGAUCCCGAUAGAAGAAACCAUCAACAUCAACAAGCUUCUACGGCUUACAGUACUCGG
rnacentral:lncRNA from 1 species